rnacentral:rRNA from 1 species
GCAAGUCGAACGGUGAAGCAGAGCUUGCUCUGUGGAUCAGUGGCGAACGGGUGAGUAACACGUGAGCAAUCUGCCCCUGACUCUGGGAUAAGCGCUGGAAACGGCGUCUAAUACCGGAUACGAGCUGCGAUCGCAUGGUCAGUAGCUGGAAAGAAUUUCGGUCAGGGAUGAGCUCGCGGCCUAUCAGCUUGUUGGUGAGGUAAUGGCUCACCAAGGCGUCGACGGGUAGCCGGCCUGAGAGGGUGACCGGCCACACUGGGACUGAGACACGGCCCAGACUCCUACGGGAGGCAGCAGUGGGGAAUAUUGCACAAUGGGCGGAAGCCUGAUGCAGCAACGCCGCGUGAGGGAUGACGGCCUUCGGGUUGUAAACCUCUUUUAGCAGGGAAGAAGCGAAAGUGACGGUACCUGCAGAAAAAGCGCCGGCUAACUACGUGCCAGCAGCCGCGGUAAUACGUAGGGCGCAAGCGUUAUCCGGAAUUAUUGGGCGUAAAGAGCUCGUAGGCGGUCUGUCGCGUCUGCUGUGAAAACCCGAGGCUCAACCUCGGGCCUGCAGUGGGUACGGGCAGACUAGAGUGCGGUAGGGGAGAUUGGAAUUCCUGGUGUAGCGGUGGAAUGCGCAGAUAUCAGGAGGAACACCGAUGGCGAAGGCAGAUCUCUGGGCCGUAACUGACGCUGAGGAGCGAAAGGGUGGGGAGCAAACAGGCUUAGAUACCCUGGUAGUCCACCCCGUAAACGUUGGGGACUAGUUGUGGGGUCCAUUCCACGGAUUCCGUGACGCAGCUAACGCAUUAAGUUCCCCGCCUGGGGAGUACGGCCGCAAGGCUAAAACUCAAAGGAAUUGACGGGGACCCGCACAAGCGGCGGAGCAUGCGGAUUAAUUCGAUGCAACGCGAAGAACCUUACCAAGGCUUGACAUAUA